GGUUCUGUGCUUCUGUACUACCAUAAUUGUCAAUUAAGGAGAUGCUGCUCUUCCAUCAUGGAACGCCAAGUAAAAACAUGACUUCAACUAGGAAAGUCUGAGGUGGUGGAGAAAAUGAAGUCUGCCUUCAAAAUCUAGAAACGCCAGUGUGAGAGAGAGUGACUCUGGCAGGAAUCAGUGGUCCCUUUCUGCCUGCAGUGCCUCAGCCAGGGAUGCUCAGUGUGUCAAUGGGAACACAUCAACCCAUCCUAUUAACCCCAUGACUG